GCAUUUAGUCCGAGUUAUUUCUUGUUUCUUAUGUGACCUUUUCUCUGAAGCAUAGACGGACGUUCUAUAUUGUUACUGCUGGAGACUGUUUUUAUUAAGGCUAGAACAGACAAGUUACGAUUAAAUCAUAUCUGUAAAUCGAUAUUAUCUACCGGUUACAACUGAUUUAAAUAAUAACUAAUAAUUAUAAUUGUCAACGUUGCAGUCUACUUUUUUCUAUUUUGCAAUAAUAUCAAAAUGAACUUCAUAUUUUAGAACUUUAUUAAAACAUGCAGCUAUCACUGUGAUUGCUAUGUCAAAUUUUAAAAUACACCUAGGACAUAUCAAACGAUAUCUAAGAACAACUGUGUUGGAUGAAUGAAAAAACCCGUACGUAUGCAACUGUCUUCCUAUUUCACAUAUUUCUGUUUAAUUCAUUUACUGCUCAAGUACAAGUUUAGGGAAUGCUAUUGACAAUUGUGUCCGACAUUAUUAAACAUGUUUUUUCGUACAUGUAUAAACAUUUAUUAAAUUAAUAAUAGAGAUUGUAUAAUAACUGCUAUGUUUCACGUAUCCAUCAUGUUCUGGCUUAUUGAGAUAGAGAUAUAUGUUUAUAACAAAUUAGUCAUAUCAUCAGACUUUAAGCGUGUUUGAACUUCGAUUCUCUGUGCAAAGUCCGAUACUUGGUGUUACUUGCUGAUCGAGCGCGGCUUCCAUCUGUGGAAUUCUUCUUUUCAAAUUGAACAGCACGUUUGAAAACACGAUUAACGGAAAAACCACAGACAUGCAUUCAUCUGACCGAUAAAUUGCUAUGACACCCAAGGGAUCUCUGAACAUAGCGGUCAGUGCCAGCACCGACAUUGCUGGCCAUAAAUUGUGUUUAAUUCCUACACGUCACUUUGAAAUCCCCGACUAUGAGACAAGGAGAUAAAACGCGACGGCAAAUUUAUGAAGACUCCUUUUGCAUUGUUUUGUCAGCUUUAUUUUUGGCGGAAUUGAUAUCGGUCCCCCAUGAUCAAGAGCAUCAACUGUAAUGUCGAUUCAUCUUUUUAUCGGUAUACAAUUGCGCCAUAUCCAGAAUAAAACAAAAUGACGAACUUUGCUGGAAUAUUCGGGGUAUACGCUCGGACUUUCUUUGGUUCAACUUUAGGAAACCCUAGCUGCACAAAUGUGGUAUAUGUUAAUGCCUCAAAAUGCGGUCAGCCGAUUCGCAUGGAAUAAUCUUUAUAACAAGAUCAUGGCAUGUUUGUACACAUAAAUGAAACUGAAGACUAAAGUCCAAAACCUAAUACACUGAGAAAGCGAAC